rnacentral:rRNA from 1 species
AGCAGCCGCGGUAAUUCCAGCUCCAAUAGCGUAUAUUAAAGUUGUUGCAGUUAAAAAGCUCGUAGUUGAAUUUCGGGAUCAGUUCGCUGGUCGUGCCUCUGGUAUGUACUGGUGUUACUGGUUCCUCCCUUCUGACGAACUGUCAUGUCAUUUAUUUGGUGUGGCGGGGAAUCAGGACUGUUACUUUGAAAAAUUAGAGUGUUUAAAGCAGGCUCGCGCUUGAAUACAUUAGCAUGGAAUAAUGAAAUAGGACGUUCGAUCCUAUUUUGUUGGUUUCUAGGAUUGACGUAAUGAUUAAUAGGGAUAGUUGGGGGCAUUAGUAUUCAAUUGUCAGAGGUGAAAUUCUUGGAUUUAUUGAAGACUAACUACUGCGAAAGCAUUUGCCAAGGAUGUUUUCAUUAAUCAAGAAUGAAAGUUAGGGGAUCGAAGACGAUCAGAUACCGUCGUAGUCUUAACCAUAAACUAUGCCGACUA